AGGGCCACAAGUGGGGCCGCGCGGGGAGGAGCGGGGCUGCGGGCGGGGCGGGGCGGGGGCCCGGCUGCGGCGCCCCCGGGCCCUUUCCCUAUGGCCGACCCCUUUCCAGAGAGGAGGGAAGCGGACCUGGGGGUCCGGAAACCUACAUGGUUGCCGGGGGUGGAGAGGGGAGCACCCAGUGAAGGCUGGAAAAAUGCCCUCCGUGUACCUCCCUCCCCGGCCGCAGUGACUCCCUAGCUUGCGGGCAGGAGGGCGUGAGCGGGGUGCCUCGACCUCCCGCGCAGAGCGGGGUGCGGGGCAUCCUGCCCCUCCCAGCUGCGGAGAGGGUGGGCGGAGGAGACCUGAGACCUCCGAGACUCCGCGGGGAGCUAAGAGCAGGGCUGCCCGACAGGUUCCAGGAGCAGAAAAAUGCAUCUGCAAACCUGGAGAUUUCCAUUUGCACUCGCCUA
rnacentral:lncRNA from 10 species